AUGAAGAUCGUGAGCUGCCCCAUAAUGAAACCAGCAGUAUUCGUAAAUAUCCCCUUCUUCCCUAAUCCAAGAUUGGAGAAAGAAGAUCUAAGAGGGGCAUAUGGAGAAUGUAGUCAGAAAUAUAUAAUAGAGUCCAACCAUAACAACCGAAUUAAUUAUCCUCAUCGAGAAACUUAG
rnacentral:rRNA from 1 species